rnacentral:rRNA from 1 species
UCUGGCGACCGGCGCACGGGUGAGUAACACGUAUCCAACCUGCCCUUUACUCGGGGAUAGCCUCUCGAAAGAAAGAUUAAUACCCGAUAGCAUAAUGAUUCCGCAUGGUUUCAUUAUUAAAGGAUUCCGGUAAAGGAUGGGGAUGCGUUCCAUUAGGUUGUUGGUGAGGUAACGGCUCACCAAGCCUUCGAUGGAUAGGGGCUCUGAGAGGAAGGUCCCCCACAUUGGAACUGAGACACGGUCCAA